rnacentral:rRNA from 1 species
CUCCUUUGACGUUAGCGGCGGACGGGUGAGUAACACGUGGGUAACCUACCUAUAAGACUGGGAUAACUUCGGGAAACCGGAGCUAAUACCGGAUAAUAUUUCGAACCGCAUGGUUCGAUAGUGAAAGGUGGUUUUGCUAUCACUUAUAGAUGGACCCGAGCCGUAUUAGCUAGUUGGUAAGGUAACGGCUUACCAAGGCGACGAUACGUAGCCGACCUGAGAGGGUGAUCGGCCACACUGGAACUGAGACACGGUCCAGACUCCUACGGGAGGCAGCAGGG